ACAAGCCCACAGGCAAAAGAAAAGGAGAAUUAUGUAACAAAGACUGGCAUUGUAAAGGCAAUUUCAUAUUAGUUUGUUCCUUUAGUUCUCAACAACUGUUAGUCCACAUCACAUAACUAUGUAUUUCUGAGUUUGUUAGAACAUGUAUGGUUCCUCUGCAGGCAGUGCAGCUGCAGGUCACAUUCAAGAAAAGUCCCAAAUAAGAAAUGACAACCUUUUCCCCCCUCUCAUAUCUGUGAUUCUUAGCACACCUUACUGACUUGCAAUAAUGUACUUCAGAGUGCACUGAACUGGUUUUCAGAGCUACGUCAUGGCUAAAAAGUAACAGCCAAGCUAAGAGGAAACGUUUGUGUUAGAUUUGUUUGUUGUUUUAUUUAUGUUAAUUAUAAAGGCAAGCCCCAGGGAUAGCAUGAGUAUGAACAAUAUUCAGCCUCAGAUUUCAGAGUGACAGGUUUCAGAGUAGCAGCCGUGUUCGUCUGUAUUUGCGAAAAGAAAAGGAGUACUUGUGGCACCUUAGCGACUAACAAAUUUAUUUGAGCAUAAGCUUUCGUGAGCUACAGCUCACUUCAUCAGAUGCAUGGAAUGGAAAAUAUAGUAGGAAGACAGAUAUAGAUAUAUACACACACAGAGAGAACAUGAAAAGAGGGGUGUUCCCUUAUCAACUCUAACAAGACAAAUCAAUUAAGGUGGGCUAUUAUCAGCAGGAGAAAAAAAACUUUUGUAGUGAUAAUCAGGAUGGCCCAUUUCAAACAGUUGACAAGAAGGUGUGAGUAACAGUAGGGGGCGGGAAUUAGCAUGGGGAAAUAGUUUUUAGUUUGUGUAAUGACCCAUCCACUCCCAGUCUUUAUUCAAGCCUAAUUUUAUGAUGUCCAGUUUGCAGAUUAAUUCCAGUUCUUCAGUUUCUCAUUGGAGUCUGUUUUUUGAAGUUUUUUUGUUGAAGAGUUGCCACUUUUAGGUCUGUAAUCAAGUGUCCAGGGAGGUUGCAGUGUUAUCAGUGUGCACACUGUGAGGAGGUGGGUGUGAAUGUCACCUGUUUACAUCCAGGUGCUUCACUUCAAAAAGCAACAAAGAAAGGAAAAAUUAGAUAUUUUGUUUGUUUUAGUACUCUGCUGAAGAUUGCAGGAUCCAUCUUUUGUCACACAUAAUGCAAAAGGUAAGAAUGUGACACAGAAAGACUUAUUGGACUCUUUAGUAUGACAUUAGCAAUUACCAAAGUAAAGCGCCAAUAAACUUUUGGGAUGGCAUACAAAGAUGAAAUCCUGACACCUGCUCUAGCCCCUUUAGAUUGGAUAAAAGGGCUGGAGCAGCAUGAAGGUGCACUAAUGGUAUGUCUAUAUUGCAAUGUAAGCCCGGGCUCAAGGCAACACCCCCUUGCAUCUACACUGCAGUUGCACUAACCCAUGGUUCAUACCCAGAGUCCCAGGACCCUGUUGGGUCUGAGCUCAAGUCAAGCCAGGACUUAGGGGCUGAGCCUUAUUGCUUUGCAGUGUAGAUGAGGCCUCGGCUUGACUUAGCUCCUGGGAGUCAUUCGAAAGUAUCCACAGUUCCUUGGGGCAACUUCCUUAGUUCUCUCUAUGCCAACACUCUACAAUGGACUCUAUUAAAAACAGUGCUGCUUCUUGGUCAUGCAAGCACAGCCAAAUUUUGGUGAAUCUGUGGUGUGAGGCCAGUAAAACUGUGGACUUCAGCAAAAGCACCAGGAAUGACCACGCUUUCCCGCAGAUAGCUAAAAAUCUGGCAGCUCUGCAGAUUUUCCGGACAGAUGUUCAGUGCAGGAGUGAAUACAGGAAGCAAGUGAUAAAAUCAUACCUCAGAUAACUCACAGCAGCAUGCCUAUUUUAUGAUGACCUUGACUGGGUCCUAGGCACUGCCCCAGCACAGAGCUAACCUUGCUUCAUGAUGACCUGGUGAGCUGGGAUGGCCCUGAAUCAAGAAUGGGGAGUGAUAGGAGCCAGAGGCCAUGGGACUGAUGAGAUCCCAGCCAGAAUCAUGAAACGACACUUUUAAUGAAACCAGUCCCAGAGCAGGCUGUGGAUCAGGAUAAACAGCAAAUUCUCAGUCCCUGCUCAGAAGAGUUCUUUGAUCCAUGUCCCACAAUGAGGAAUAGCCAGCUGCUGAGCCUGCAGAGAACCCAGUGGGGACAGAAGCUGCCCCAGAACUGGUAAGUGCAUGAUUCAAAUAAAAAGUUUAUUAUUACAGUAAUGGAAGGGAUUUCUGCAUUAAGAGGCAAUGCAAAAAUGGUAAGCCCCAGCUCCCAGCGUUUGGCCACUAAUGGUGGAUUAUAUCACAGAGCCUAGGCAUCCCUUCCCUCUCUGUCUCCGUCUCCGUCUCCCCAACCCUCCACCAGUGGUAGUUCAAAAUGGCAACUUGAAAUUUCAAGCUUUCAUACACAGCUGUAAAGUUUAUUUUAACUAAGUCACAGAUGUUUCUUGUUUUCCUUUCAGUAAUUAGAAAUUUGCCACUCUGCAGUCACUUCUCCUGGGUAUAUACAGCUGCCUGUAAACAGUGAAGUGUUUCCAAAUCUAGUCCAUUGCAGAGGUAAUCCGUGCAGAGGUGGAGUAAAGCUGCAGAUUUCAGAGAGUUUUGCAUUCAUCAAUAACAAGGACCCUCAGCCUAUACUGCCUGCUGUUCUAAAUUCAGGAACUUGAUCCUUGGCCCAACAUGGACUCACAGACCAUUCCAAAAGGAAGUGUUCCCAUGAUGAAGUUAUGGUUGAUGUUCUUGAGAGGGCAGACCAGCAGGUACAGUUCCAGAAGAAGAAGGAUGAAAGACUGGAAUAAUGGCAUGCUGACAGGCAGGAGGCAAGGCUGAGGCUUGCCACCCAGAUGGAGAACAGGGUUUCAUCAAGGCAGCUGGUACUUGCAAAGCAGUUCCUGGAACAGGAUCAGUGGCUAGAGGAAGACAGAGCUCUGCGGAGAGAACUGUUUCAGCAACUCCUGUCUACAAUGGCUGCAAGAACACUGGCUCCUGCUGCCUCCCCAUAGCAUGAUGCCCCAGCAACAUACCCUCACCCAGCAGUAGCUUGGACAACUCCAUGUUGGGGCGGCCCGUGCAUUCAGGACUCUUGAGCAGCUGGGCAGAGCAGCUAAAUACUGUGCAGCUUCCCUUCCUUUCUUCCACCCCUCUUGGAUGGAAACUUCCAGCCCCACUCACAUUGCAAAGUGUGGGGUAAACGUGUAAAGAAGGGAAAGGAGAAUCUGGGACCAGGGGACAUGCAGCAGUGGGGGGAUCAGAUUGGGUAUUAACUCUUUCCUGACCUUUCUUUUUGGGUGUGUGGUUUUAUAAUGGCAGCUGGCUUGCACAAGACUGUGAGUGGUUUAGUGUUUUAAGAGCUGUUUACAUAUAAAGUAUGUUAUAUUUUCAAGAAA